UCGGGAAUUUUGGGCAAUGGGCGAAAGCCUGACCCAGCAACGCCGCGUGAAGGAUGAAGUAUUUCGGUAUGUAAACUUCGAAAGAAUAGGAAGAAUAAAUGACGGUACUAUUUAUAAGGUCCGGCUAACUACGUGCCAGCAGCCGCGGUAAUACGUAGGGACCAAGCGUUGUUCGGAUUUACUGGGCGUAAAGGGCGCGUAGGCGGCAAUUCAAGUCAUCUGUGAAAUCUCCGGGCUUAACUCGGAACGGUCAGAUGAUACUGCUUUGCUAGAGUGCAGAAGGGGCAAUCGGAAUUCUUGGUGUAGCGGUGAAAUGCGUAGAUAUCAAGAGGAACACCUGAGGUGAAGACGGUUGCUGGGCUGAUACUGACGCUGAGGCGCGAAAGCUAGGGUAGCAAACGGGAUUAGAUACCCCAGUAGUCCCUGAGCGGGCUGGCAAGGCGCAU
rnacentral:rRNA from 1 species